rnacentral:rRNA from 1 species
GCACUCUGCUAACUCGUAAGAGGAUGUAUAGGGUGUGACGCCUGCCCGGUGCUCGAAGGUUAAUUGAUGGGGUUAGCAUUAGCGAAGCUCUUGAUCGAAGCCCGAGUAAACGGCGGCCGUAACUAUAACGGUCCUAAGGUAGCGAAAUUCCUUGUCGGUUAAAUACCGACCUGCAUGAAUGGCGUAACGAGAUGGGAGCUGUCUCAAAGAGGGAUCCAGUGAAAUUGUAGUGGAGGUGAAAAUUCCUCCUACCCGCGGCAAGACGGAAAGACCCCGUGGACCUUUACUACAGCUUGACACUGCUACUUGGAUAAGAAUGUGCAGGAUAGGUGGGAGGCUUUGAGUAUAUGACGCCAGUUGUAUAUGAGCCAUUGUUGAGAUACCACUCUUUCUUAUUUGGGUAGCUAACCAGCUUGAGUUAUCCUCAAGUGGGACAAUGUCUGGUGGGUAGUUUGACUGGGGCGGUCGCCUCCCAAAUAAUAACGGAGGCUUACAAAGGUUGGCUCAGAACGGUUGGAAAUCGUUCGUAGAGUAUAAAGGUAUAAGCCAGCUUAACUGCAAGACAUACAAGUCAAGCAGAGACGAAAGUCGGUCUUAGUGAUCCGGUGGUUCUGUGUGGAAGGGCCAUCGCUCAAAGGAUAAAAGGUACCCCGGGGAUAACAGGCUGAUCUCCCCCAAGAGCUCACAUCGACGGGGAGGUUUGGCACCUCGAUGUCGGCUCAUCGCAUCCUGGGGCUGGAGCAGGUCCCAAGGGUAUGGCUGUUCGCCAUUUAAAGCGGUACGCGAGCUGGGUUCAGAACGUCGUGAGACAGUUCGGUCCCUAUCUGCCGUGGGCGUAAGAAGAUUGAAGAGAUUUGACCCUAGUACGAGAGGACCGGGUUGAACAAACCACUGGUGUAGCUGUUGUUCUGCCAAGAGCAUCGCAGCGUAGCUAAGUUUGGAAAGGAUAAACGCUGAAAGCAUCUAAGCGUGAAGCCAACUCUAAGAUGAAUCUUCUCUAAGCUCUCUAGAAGACUACUAGUUUGAUAGGCUGGGUGUGUAAUGGAUGAAAGUCCUUUAGCUGACCAGUACUAAUAGAGCGUUUGGCUUAUCUUU